UUAAUUGAAGAGUUUGAUCAUGGCUCAGAUUGAACGUUGGCGGCAGGCCUAAUACAUGCAAGUCGAACGGUAACAGAUCGCUGUGAUCCCUUCGGGGUGAACUUGAUGCUGACGAGUGGCGAACGGGUGAGUAACGCGUAGGAAUCUACCCAGUAGCGGGGGAUAGCCCGAGGAAACUCGGAUUAAUACCGCAUACGCC
rnacentral:rRNA from 1 species